rnacentral:lncRNA from 14 species
UCCCAUUUUUCCCGGUGUGAAUUCCCGUUUUUCCCAGUGUAAAUUCCCAUUUUUUCCCAGUGUGAAUUCCCAUUUUUUCCCGUUUUUCCGCAGGCCGUGCCCGCUGGAGGAGCUGCUGCUGCCGCCGGGCAGCGCCGAGGGCCGCAGCGAGGAGAAGGCGCUGCUGGAGCAGCUGGUGACGUUCCUGAGCGGCCGGGACGAGACCGAGCUGGCCGAGAUCGACCGCGCCCUCGGCAUCGACAAACUCGUGCAGGGCGGCGGCCUGGACGCUGCCGGCGACGCUUCCCGCCCCACGCCGCCCCGCCGCCGCCCGCGCUGCUGCUGGAGCCCAAACCCGGAAUGUUCUCCCAGCCCUUCCCUCCUUCAUCAUCCUCCUCAUCACCAUCCUCAUCAUCAUCAUCCUCGGCGUUCCCGGCCAUGCUGAGGCCCAAGGGGCCCUUCGGAGCCGUGCCCGUGGCUGCGCCUCCUCCUCCUCCUCCUCCUCCUCCUCCGGCUGCUGCUGCUGCGGCUGCGCGUGGAACGUUCCAGAACAGCGCCGGCGCGGCCGCGCUGGGCAUGGCCCGGCCGGGGCUGGGCCGCCCCCCGAGCGCCCCCAACCAGCUGAGGCUGCAGCUGCAGCAGCGCCUGCAGGGCCAGCAGCAGCAGCAGCAGCCACAG